rnacentral:rRNA from 1 species
GACGAACGCUGGCGGCGUGCCUAAUACAUGCAAGUAGAACGCUGAAGCGAGGAGCUUGCUCUUCUUGGAUGAGUUGCGAACGGGUGAGUAACGCGUAGGUAACCUGCCUGGUAGCGGGGGAUAACUAUUGGAAACGAUAGCUAAUACCGCAUAAAAUUGAUUAUUGCAUGAUAAUUAAUUGAAAGAUGCAACUGCAUCACUACCAGAUGGACCUGCGUUGUAUUAGCUAGUUGGUGAGGUAACGGCUCACCAAGGCGACGAUACAUAGCCGACCUGAGAGGGUGAUCGGCCACACUGGGACUGAGACACGGCCCAGACUCCUACGGGAGGCAGCAGUAGGGAAUCUUCGGCAAUGGGGGGAACCCUGACCGAGCAACGCCGCGUGAGUGAAGAAGGUUUUCGGAUCGUAAAGCUCUGUUGUAAGAGAAGAACGGGUGUGAGAGUGGAAAGUUCACACUGUGACGGUAUCUUACCAGAAGGGGACGGCUAACUACGUG